rnacentral:misc_RNA from 1 species
GGAUGGAUCAUUAACACCUAUUCACAAUCGUGACUUUUUGCCGUCGCCUGUCGCCGCGUUUUCUAACGCGGUUGACGGCGGCGACAAAAAAACCAACGUAGAACUUGUUCAAGUCUCUUUUUCACAUUCGUGUGAAACGCACCAAACGCUGGGACCGUGGUGUGCGCAAUGCAUGUGCGUUCGCGCGCCGUGUCUUUCUGCUACCCACGAACCCAGCGGAUCAAUCAUUCUAAAUUGAACUGUGGUGCCUUCUUUCUAUCGCCUGCAGCGCAAAAAAGGUUUUUCUUUUUUUGCGCCGUCGGAGAAAGGAAGACUGUUACACCAACAAUCAAAACAAAAUGAACCAAAAGCACAACUUUUGACAAUGGAUAUCUUGGCUCACGCACCGAUGAAGAGCGCAGCGAAAUGCGAUACGUAAUGUGAAUUGCAGAUGUCUGUGAAUCAUCAAGAUCUUGAACGCAAGUUGCGCCGCCUACAGCGGCAUGUCUGUUCGAGUUAUGGUAACAACAAAACUUCCUCUUGCACGCGCGUGCGCGUGCAGCAGGAGAAAUGACGGUUCGCCGCUUUCCACUCGCGCACACCGUUUUUCCUCGUUGCCUUUGUGCUGCGACGAAAAAUGUGGCGCCGCGAUGGUGUGGUGAUCCGUUGAAUUGCAUGUGAUCGAGCGACCUUGAGUCACGCACGUCAACGAGAAGAAGGGAGGAGAGCAAUCUCCUCCCUUUCUCGGCAGGCGGUGUCGUCGUUCCAACGUCAAGCUAAGUGUAUACUCUUGCACCUAUUCUGACGCUUGGGCUGGCAUCUGCUCUGUUCUGGCAUGCACUCUGCGCACGGUCAUUCCACCUUUUCUUUUUUGAAAAGACAAGCUUCGGCUUGUGUUUUUACAAAAUCAUACUCGAAUCAGGCAAGACUACCCGGUGAACUUAAGCAUAUUACUAACCGGAGGAAAAGAAACUAACUAGGAUACCCUUAGUAAGGGCGACUGAAGUGGGUAGAGCUCAGGUUUAAAAUCUGCCAGGCUCCCUGGCCGAAUUGUAGUCUUGAGAACGGCAUCCUGAGAGCAGGCUGGGAGAAGUCCUUUGGAACAAGGCGCCAGAGAGGGUGAGAGCCCCGUAAACCGCCCAGCUGGAAGCUUUCUUACGUUUGCUGUUCAUAGAGUCGGGUUGUUUGGGAAUGCAGCCUUAAAUGGGUGGUAAAUUCCAUCUAAAGCUAAAUAUUGGCGUGAGACCGAUAGCGAACAAGUACCGUGAGGGACAGAUGAAAAGAACUUUGAAAAGAGGGUUAAACCAGUGCUUGAAAUUGUCAAAAGGGAAGGGGUUGGCUCCAGUAUUGAAGCGCGUCCGUUUCAAGCUUGCAGGCGAUACACGGGCCCGUCCGGGAGGUGCUGCCAAGUAUCAUCGGGCGGAGAACGCGUGUUGCCUGUGGGUGGUAUUACUGGCGCGUUUCGGUCAGCAUGGGUUGGUGCCUCGCGCGCGGGAGAAGGGCGGUCGGAAGGUAGGUUGCCUGCGGGUGACUGUUAAGACGGCCGUCAGGAUACCGUGCGCCCGACUCAGGGAAAGGAAGCGUGUGCCACGGCUGGGCUCCGUGGGUGCACGGCGGGUCGCGGGGUGGGAGACUGGUACAGUGUCUUGCUCCGCGGUCUGUCGGCAUGCGCCCACGUUCCACAUGCACGCUCUAGAUGCUGUCAAAAUGGAGUCAACUCUCCCGUCUUGAAACACGGACCAAGGAGUCUAACAUAUGUGCGAGUGUUAAGGUGGCAAACCUUAGCGCGGAAUGAAAGUGAAGGCGGACUCGGUCCGCCGAGGUGGGAUGCGAACAGCUGCACCAUCGACCGAUCUGGAUAUUUUUUGAAAGAUUUGAGUAAGAGCAUGUAUUUUAGGACCCGAAAGAGGGUGAACUAUGCCUGUAUAGGGUGAAGCCAGAGGAAACUCUGGUGGAGGCUCGUAGCGAUACUGACGUGCAAAUCCAGGCUCUCAGACGAACGCCCUUGGGAAGGAGUGGGGUUUUAAUGAGCAUGUCAUUACUUUCCUCUCCAACUGAGGAGUGAGAGCACGUGCGUCUAAAAGUGCAACGACAGUGCACAUACUGUGCGCUCUCGCUAGUGCUAGUUUGCAGUGAGCGAGAAGUAGCUCACUGCGGGCGACACCAUCAAAUUGUUCUGGAACACCCUUAGAGCCCAGUAGACUCCCUGCAGCUGGAAACAGACAAAUCGCGGCUAUGAACUCUGGAAAGAGCGAGCGCGCGAACUGCAGCACAGUAAAACUGACUGGGAUUGGGUUAUCAGCAGCCAAGUCGCCACGCUGGAGCACCGCAGGAGAGCGCUUGCGCUCGAGGUCUCCAUGCUGGGAUGCAGUUCAGAGACUAGAUGUUGGUGGGCGAGGGCAUGACGGUGUGUGGCGAACCAAUAUGCACACGCACCAGACCUCGCAUAAGGUAUAGUCCAUCCCUCAUUGGAAACUUUGAGGUAGCAGAGGCAAAUCGUUCGUCAAAUAUAGGUAUAGGGGCGAAAGACUAAUCGAACUCUCUAGUAAACUUCUUUGCACACCUGCAAUUGCUAGAGAUAGUUGGGUGCCAAGCGUGCACUGCGUUCUGCAGUGGUCGACUUGGCAUUAUGCCAGCUAGUCUGCUGCCUUCAUGUCGGAAACGAAGCAGCUGGGCGAGGUGUCCUGGUACGGGGGAAACCCUACUACAUAGCAACAAUAAUGGUUUGCAGCUAUGUACGGGCAAUCCCGUGGCGAGCCGCUGGUGGGCAACUGCCAGCAAGGGCCGUCGUAACGCACGCAAAGGCACCGGGUUGCUUGUUUGUACGCAAGUAGCCUCAAGGUACGUGCUACUCCCAUGUGAAAGCAUGCUCCAACUCUAGUCCGAGUGUUUCCCUCAGACGAGGUUGCGAGGAGCGGCAUGAUGCUGGAGGAAAUGCCAUGCAUCUGUGCAUGCGCAGCAGUUGUUCACACAGCAGCUGCAGCAUGCCCUGCUCGGUAUCAAGGAGCUGGUUCCCUC